CAAAGAUUAGCACAUAGUUGUUACGAAGCCGCCUUCCAAUUCCAAACCACAAUCAGACGAGCUGUAAGCUGCAGGUGAAGACUAAUACUCUUGAAGUGUAGGAAGCCGUCUUAUCUUGAAGAAUUUUACUAUCUAUCUUUUGUUAACGUUAUUUUGAACAUAUUUUAUUUUUGGGGAUUCCCGCUCUGAUAGUGACAUCGGGUUGGGACCAUAUUUACAUUUAUCAUUAAACUUAUGUAUGUGUACUUCAAAAAGAAUUUUGUUGUCUGAUAUUAUGAUUUCGAUGUCAUUAAGUUUGAUGGAAAUUUUGGAUUAUUGUGAUAUGUUCACAAUUACGUGAUACUCUUUACCUUAAUAAAAAAAAAUUGAAAGUUUAUAUUUA